rnacentral:rRNA from 1 species
UACGUAGAGUGCAAGCGUUGUCCGGAAUCAUUGGGCGUAAAGGGUACGCAGGCGGAUAUGCAAGUCAAAUGUGAAAGGUGUCGGCUCAACCGACAGACUGCGUUUGAAACUGUAUAUCUUGAGUGCAACAGAGGAGAGUAGAAUUUCUAGUGUAGUGGUGAAAUACGUAGAUAUUAGAAAGAACACCAGUGGCGAAAGCGACUCUCUGGGUUGCAACUGACGCUGAGGUACGAAAGCCGGAGGAACGAACGGG